rnacentral:lncRNA from 1 species
GAACGUCAAGCAGCUACCUCAACAACUCUUAAGAAUAUCUGGAGACUACGAGUGCUCAGCUAAGCCUCCGGUGUACCUGAAUCUGCACACAAGNNNNNNNNNNNNNNNNNNNNNNNNNNNNNNNNNNNNNNNNNNNNNNNNNNNNNNNNNNNNNNNNNNNNNNNNNNNNNNNNNNNNNNNNNNNNNNNNNNNNNNNNNNNNNNNNNNNNNNNNNNNNNNNNNNNNNNNNNNNNNNNNNNNNNNNNNNNNNNNAAAGCAUAUAUAAUGUCUGAAAGUAAGAAAUCCACAAAAUGCCACAAAGCAAAGCUAAAACUAACAGUCCUAUACCUUAGCCACGAACUAACAGCAAAGCAAUAUCAAAUAUAAUAGUCAAGAAUUCGAUAAAGAUGAAAUGCAAUGCACAUGAAACCGCUGCGGCGUGCAGCCCGAUCUGUUUAACGUCGACGAUGCUCACUGGGGGUGUGUACUGACUCUAGAGGGGGUCCUUCAUCCCAAGUGAAAUAUCAUUAUAUCACCACUGUGGCGUGCAACCCGACCCAUGCUCAGUCCACAGUGUGCAUAUGAGUCACAUAACAUAUUCAAUCUAAUUUCCAUUUUUCCAAUUAUUAAUGUGAAUAUAAUUUAGUUAAUUUAUUUCAGGAAAAAAGUGACUUAAAAUUUAAUAACAGUAUUAAACACAUGACUGAGAUUAAUGAUUUUGCAAAUCAUACUAUCACAAUGAUAUUCAUCCUAGACGGAUACUGCAGAUCGGCACAAGGCCCCAAACAUGGCAUUAAGCCCAAUUAUCAAUAACACAAUGUGCGUACCAGCCGCCAAUAAUUUUAUUCAGCUCUCGAGAUGGAACAAGUCACAAUCUCCAAUCACAUACCAUCCUGCACCUGCCAUGGGGUGCGAGUCACGAUCUAACAUAGUAUUACGAUGUGAUAAAUUGUGGUUUCAAACCCUCAGGCCAUCAUCUAUACAAACUACUCACCUCUAACCGGCCGUAGACUAGCCCGUGAUACCCUUUCCUUGUGGUCUAUCCAAAACCACAAUGAAUACAUCACAUUAUGCUAUGGAAUCAAUACCCAAUCGAAAAUAAUCAAAAAGCAGCAAUAAUCCUGAAAUUGACAAAACCCAAGCCCCGGGCCCAAUUCUCGAAACUCAAAAGUUUUUAUAUAAAAGUGUUCUUCAUCUUCUCCCGAUUCCGCACAUAUGAAGAACACCAAAAUCGGAGUCCAUUUGACCCCUCAAAUCGAUCCCUAAAGGUUUCAUAAUCUCAGCCCCCAAAAUCCUAUUUUUCUACUGUUUUUCAUGAAUUAAAGGCUGGGAUUAUGGUUUAUAAUCACCUAUAUACGCGUUUUAAUAAUCAAAUAACAUUAUCAAUACCCACUGAUGUUCUCUCUUAAAAAUCGCCUCAGAAGAUUUUUUCCCAUUCAAAAAAUUGAAAUAAAACUCGAGCUUCUCAUUAUAGGUAUAUUAUUCACGCGUUUGACUGCUCCCAAUGUAUUCCUUGUAAAAUUCUAAUGAAUUUAGACUUUUGAAUCACUCAAUUUGACCUUAUAAUGAAGAAGAUAUGUAGGUUUUAAGAUUUGCAAACAGUGCAGGUUUUUAAUACGUCAUCAGGUGCAAUUUCGUCAUUAAUUUGAAAAUCUAGGCAACCUUAGUAAAACGGCCAUAAAAUUCUCAUACGAUGUCUAAAUUCGAUGAUUCUUUUGUGCUACGAGUCCAUAAUAACGAUACAGAUAUAGUGCUUCAUUCAAAGUAGUAAUCAUAGCUUAUUUGUUCAAUAUGAUAUCAUUUAUGCUUGAAAAAACGACGUCGAAGCAUAAGAAAAACGAGCACAACGCAGCCCAAACCUUUUCGAAUCUCAUCCGAACUCCUCGGGACCACAUACCAACAUACUAAUACAUCACAUAUGAUCAUUCAAACUUAGUUGACAGCCCAAACCUAUCCAAAACUCACACGAACUCCUCGGGACCGCAUACGAACAUACUAAAAGAUCACAUAUGAUCAUUCAAACUUAGUUUCAGUCUCAAAACACCAAAACUAACAUAAAACACCAAAUUUACAUCGCUACUUAGUUUUCCUGAGUCUGAACUCAGAUCGUAUCAUGCAAUUAACUUCACUCCCACUAAGAGCCUUGAAAAAUAUUCUUCAUGCGCCUAUAUUCGGGCUGCACAUCGAACCACAAUAGGAAAUGAAUCACUUAACAGUUCGUCUAUUAUCCAGCAGACUUCUUCGUCGCUACCAGGUCAUAUAAUUGCAUCUCGCAGUACUAACAUACUCAAUCACACGAAUACCAAACUGCCAUUCCGACUAAUAGCGACAAUACCAAACAUAUGAGUACAUACCACUAUCUCGCAGAAUUAGUACUCUGGUGCUCCAGCCAUAUGCGAAGACUCGACCUCAAGUCCUCGCCCCUCGAUCGGGGAAUCACAAGCCAUCAAAGUAAAUCUGCUAUUGAGCGCUCAUGUGUUCAUGCGAACACGUGGAAGGAAUUUUAAGAGUUACUCUUUCAAGCUGAAUCAAGGACGCACGAUAAGAUUUCAAGAAAGUGCAGUGUUUCCUAAAGGUUCUAUAGCCUCCUGCUUAUAAGUGUGGUGCAUGGCACACCCAUAAACAGGACUCUACUAAGCCGGCUCAUGACUCGUGAGACUAGUAAACCUAGGCUCUGAGGUUUUGUAGCCUCCCGAGGAUAGAUACGUACGUCUACGUACCGAUCCACGAGACUCUACUAACCGGCUCAUGACUCCUGAGGACUAGUAACCUAGGCUCUGAUACCAACUUGUCACGACUCAAACCCGAGCUCCGGGCCCAAUUCUCGAUAUUAACCUUCCGACAAGCUGAAACCAAAUUCGUUCGUAUCCAUUAAUGAUCCCAAAGGUCUCUUCUGACCAAACACACCAUCCUGGUGACAUGACACAUCAAUAUGUCCUAAGCCACAACUUACAUAACACCCUUACCAAUAAGAGACAGUCUGACAUACUCAAGUCAUGAAAAUGACUUAAAUGAAAAAGUUGUAAUUUAAGCUCAUCAAUACCAUUACAAGACAAGGCUGGGACCCCGUCCCACAUCAUAGAAAUAGAAUACCUAAAUCUUUCCCGAAGGGUCUAAUCUCCACGUAACCUCGCUAUAAUACGCGAUCUCACCCAUUGUCCAACGAGUGUGUGAUUCUGAAAGCUAAGUGCAAAAACCUGGAACUUAGGGUCAGCGAAUGUGAUAAUAAAAAUGCUGAGUUGAACAAUCAGGUUCAUGAACUUGACACCACAGUCCUAGAGCUCAAAUCUGAAAAUCUAAAAUUGAAAUUAGGAAGAGGUUGAGACAUGCCCUUGACUCUAAAGGUUUCAGGUUGAGCAAGACAAACACGGAGUAAUUGAGGGUACAAAUUUGGGGCUGAGCCGACGGAAGCGGGAGUGGAAGUGAGGCUUGACUCUCAAAUCAUCCCUAAGAAGAGUAGUUUCAAAUACCUUGGGUCAGUUAUUCAGGGGAUCGGGGAAAUCGACGAGGAUGUCACACACUGUAUAUGGGUGGGUUGGAUGACUUGGAGGUUAGGGACGAGAGUUUUGUGUGACAAGAAAGUUCCAGCAUUACGAAAAGGUAAGUUUUAUAGAGCAGUGGUUAGGCGUGCAAUGCUGUAUGGGACUGAGUGUUGGCCGGUGAAGAACUCACACACCAAGAAUAUGAAAGUAGCAGAGAUGAGGAUUUCGAGGUGGAUGUGUGGGAAUACAAGGAUGGAUAAGAUUAGGAAUGAAUAUAUCCGAUAGAAGUUGGGUGUGGCCCCCAUAGAGGACAAGAUGCGAGAAGCAAGACUCAGAUGGUUCGGGCACAUUCAGAGGAGGAGCACUGAUGCACCUGUGAGAAGGUGUGAACGAUUGGAUGUGGUGGGCAUGAUGAGAGGUAGAGGGAGACCUAAGAAGUAUUGAGGAGAGGUGAUAAGACAGUAUUUAGCGCAUCUUAGGAUUACUGAGGACAUGGACCUUGAUAGGGGAUUGUGGAGGUCCAGCAUUAAAGUUGUAGGUUAGGUUAUACAACGUAUAACAUAAAAUAAUAAAAUAGCAGCAAUAUAAGAAAUACAGAAUAGAAAUAGAUGAUAUAGAUGAAAUACAUGAAAGGUAUACUAAUAUCCAACAGAUAGCUCACUGUAUCGGUAGCUGACCAGUAACAUCCUAAGAUUACCUUACAUGUAGCUAUUGUCACUCUAGUGUGCUGUAGAAAUAUCCACAACUUCGUUCUCCUCUGCCAUCUAAUAUUGCUUGUACUGAAGCGCUCUCAGGGAUUCCUUCUGGCCACAUUGGGACUACAACAUAAACAGUAAACCUUUCCCCAGCUUCAAUCUUGCUGACAAUCUUCGAAGCAAGUUCCUUUGGAAUGACAUGCAAAGCACCUAUCUCCUCUUCCUUGAUAUCAUCACUUUGCCAGUCAUAACUGCUUCCAAGAAUGGGACUUGUUGUUUAGUUGUUCUCCCUUGCUGGGAUAUUUAAUCUUGUUGUAUAUUCCUUUCCCCGUUUGGUUGUGACCGUUGAUUGGGUGAGGAAGAGAGUGAUUAUGCACGAAGGAUCUUUCCGUGCCAUGUUACGAUAAUUACGAACUAAGGGUCUUUCUGUGCCAUGUUUUGAUAAUUAUGCAUGAAGGGUCUUUCCAUGCCAUGUUUCUUGAUUAUUUGAGCACGAAGGGUCAUUCUGUGCCUUGANNNNNNNNNNNNNNNNNNNNNNNNNNNNNNNNNNNNNNNNNNNNNNNNNNNNNNNNNNNNNNNNNNNNNNNNNNNNNNNNNNNNNNNNNNNNNNNNNNNNNNNNNNNNNNNUAUUUGACAGUUUUGGUGAGGAAAGCACGAAGGGUGAUGUCGUGCACUAUAUUUGACAGUUUUGGUGAGGAAAGCACGAAGGGUGAUGCCGUGGAAGGUUGAUGCCAUUCAGUUGUUGAUUCUCUGGCUUUCUUUUAUUGAUGUUAAAUAUUCAGUUUCCAUUCUUGUUCAAUGGUUUUAUAAUUGAAUUGUUACACCCCACAACAUGCCCCCUUCCUAUUAUUUUUUUAAAUUAUGUUUUCUUUCCGUUAUUGCACAUAUAUCUGUACAGGUUGAUUAUGGUAGGUCCGGUCUAGCCUCGUCAGUAUCUCGCCGGGGUUAGGCCAGACACUUACCAGCAUAUGGGGUCAGUUGUGCUGAGGCUACACUACUGUGCCUUUGUUGCACAGAUCAAGAUAUAGCUUACGGACCGCAGUAGUAGCCUGGGAGCGCGCCUUCGGUCCAGAGGCUCCUAGGUAGGUCGCUGGUGUUCGCGGGCCCUCAGUCUCAUCUAUUUCAUUCCGUUAGUUUUCAUUGUAUCGAAAUAGACUUAUUAUGCAAUUUUCUUUCAGAGUGAUGAUUGUAGAACUCUUUUAGUAGUCCGUGAGUAGUGACACCAGAUACUCGGUAGUGCCAUGUUAUAGUCUUUCGCACUUUGCUAUUAUUUUUGUUAAAAGUCUUCCGUGCAUUUUUGAUUAAUCAUCUCAGUUAUUAUAUUGUUUUAGAUUAAAGUUUUAUGGAAUAUUUUAAAAGGGUUGGCUUGCCUAGCUCCGAUAGUAGGCGCCAUCACGACUCCCGAUGGUGGAAAAAAUCCGGGUGGUGAUAAGUUGGUAUCAGAGCACUAGGUUACUUGGGUCUCACAACUCAUGGACAAGCUCGGUAGNNNNNNNNNNNNNNNNNNNNNNNNNNNNNNNNNNNNNNNNNNNNNNNNNNNNNNNNNNAACUCGUGGACAAGCUCGGUAGAGUCUGAGGGAUCAGUACGGAGAUGUCUGUAUUUAUCCCCCAGAGGCUGCAGGGUUAGGAAAAAUUUCACUUUGUUAAUUCUUGUAGUGUGAUUCUGUUUCUAAAAUAUUGAUUGUCGUUCUACUCUGUUCUUUCGCAGAUGGAGAGAACACAUGCGUCUUCUUCUUCUUCUGCGCAGCAGCCCGAGCCCCCAGCAGCAGCUCCCGUAAGGGGCAGGGGACGAGGUCGUGCCAGAGGUCAUUGUAGGGGCAGAGCUCAGCCCCAGGCAACAAUUCUAGGUGUGGAGCCUCAUAUUGACUUUGAUGAGGAGGUUCCAGCCCCACCAGCUCCAUUGAGCCCAGCUCUGGUCCCAGGAGGGGUUAUUUUUUUCCCAGAUCUCCAGGAUGCUAUCGUCCGCAUCGCAGGCUUUAUGGAUAGUGUCGCUAGAGCGGGUUUGCUGCCAGGAGCACCAGCCACUUCUCAGGAUGGAGGAGGGGUUCAGACUCCUGCUACACGUACUCUAGAGCAGGUAGCUCCCCGGACUCAGGUUCCAGUGGUUCAGCCUGCAGUGGAAGCUUAGACAGGUAUUACAGCUCAGGUCAUAUAUGGGACGACCAUGUAUUUGGAUGAUUUGUUGAGACUUGAUCGGUUCUACAAGCUUUUCACCACCACUUUCAGCGGUGCUUCAUCAGAGGAUCCCAGGAGUUUCUAUUCAGUUGUCAUGUGAUCCUUAGGACUGUGGGUAUAGUGGAGAUCAAUGGGGUCGAUUUUUUCACCUUCAGGCUUGCAGGAUCCACCAAGACAUGGUGGAGAGAUUAUUGUCUAUCUAGACCUUCAGGGUCUCCAGCUUUGACAUGGGAUCAGUUUGCGGAGUUAUUUUUGGAGAAGUUUCUCCCCGUCACUCAGCGGUAGGCACUUCGUAGACAGUUUGAGCGCCUCCAUCCGGGCUCUAUGACAGUUAUACAUCAUGAGACUAGAUUUAUUGAUUUGUCACGCCAGUUGUGAUACUCCCUACAGAGCGAGAGAGGGUCCGGAGGUUCAUUGAUGGAUUGAUUCAGCCGAUUCGCCUUCAAAUGGCCAUAGGAAAUGGCAGUGAUAUAUCCUUUCAGGAGGCGGCCAACGCAGCCCACCGGGUAGAGAUGGCACUAGUUCGAGGAGGUAGUCAGGGGCCAGACAAGAGGCCUCGCCAUUCUGGAAGGUUCAGUGGUACCUCAUCUGGAGGUAGGGAUGCAUAUGACAGAGGCCACACUCAGAGGCCCUUCCAGCCGGCACUUCAGGUUUCUCAUGGCACUCCAGGCGAUGGUGGUCCUCAGCAGUAUUAUUCAGAUGAGCAGACCUUCAGCGCACCACCAGCCCCCAUCAGUGCACCGCCACUCCAGAGCUUCAGGGGAGGACUUACAGGCCGACAGGGCUAGUAGUAUCAGCAAAAACAUUUUAAACACACUUGAAAAUACAUAACAUGUAUGAUAAACCAGUUUCUGGACAUAAGAGGUAAAAACAGAUGUAAAACUAUUCGGAAAUGUUAAAGAACAUGUAAGUAUAUUAAUUUUUAAAGUUGCAGAAGAUACAAUAGUCAGACAAGUUUAGAAAAAUAGUAAUCCAAUUCUGGACUAGGAAGAAGAGCGACUUAGUAAAACAUUUGCAUGGAAGUGAUUGAAAAUAAGGCAGAAGUUUAGUGUAAAAAAUUAGCAGACUUUAUAGAGGCAAACAAAAUCAGACGGUUUGAAGGGGUGAAUAGCUUAAGCAGGAUUUAAGGCGAUUAAUCAAUUUCGUUUAUCCUAGAGUUUUCCUAGGCAUUGUUUAACCAUAAGAGAAAGGCGGACAUACACGUGAGUUAUUAAAGGAAAGUGUUAACCAGUUUUACAUUCAUUUAACACAAUUAGUGAGGCAUUCAACAGUUGCAAAAGAAAGUCCCUAAGUACAUGAUUUCUAAUGCAUAUAAAGGCCCUAAAACGUGGCAUCUAAAUGCAAAGCAGUAAUUUGGUUAUUAAUUGAUUGUAAUAAUAAAGAUAACAAGCUGAAAUAAAAGCUCUAAGAACAGGAUUUCUAUAUGUGAGAUGCAUGUCCUACACAUGGUUUCUAUUAUGCAAAUAGGUAAUAAAGCCCUAGAAACAUAUUUUCUUCCCAUUCUCUCAAUAAUCAUGCAUAACCCUCCCCAAUUUUACUAUAAUCCCCAUUGUUCUUUACAAAUUAUUACAGCCAAGUAAUUAAAAAGUACAACAUUGACAAACAAAUAAGAAGUUAUUCUAUUGAGAGCCUUCAGCCAGGCCCAAGCAUCUCCAACCUUACUCUUUUCGAGUUUCACAGCCAUUACCAAGGCUUGGGUGCGGCAAUUUCCCUAAGGGUUCGUUUGAAUCCCUGGCCAAUGCCAAGCACCCAAAAAUGUCCCAGUUAGACAAAUACAAGCAUUGGAAGUGCUAGCCUUGUGCAUCAGAGUUCCAUGGGUGCUCUAGGCUCCCAUGGCAGUGCUUGCACUAAGGGGGCAGACCCUAAAGCUCUAAGAAUGAGAUUGUAAUUGAAAGAGUUGAAAACAGUUGAGAGACAGUUUAAGGAAACAGUUGAAAGAAUUUAGAGAGUUAAGAAAAUAGUCGAAAGAGUUUGACAAGUUGAGACAAUUUAAAAAAUAGUUUAAAGAAUUGAGAGAGUUUAAGUAAUUAUUUUAGACAGACCAAUUUUAGAACAGCAGGGCAUCACACAAACAGGAGGGCAAAAGGGGAAAGGGACAAAUAAGCAAAGCAAACUACUUACACAUGCAACAUAUGAAAGUAAACAGACAUGGUUGCAAACAAGAGUUCAACUCUAACACACUUAGCCUCAAAUAGGGGCUUUAGGUUAACAAAGUAGCCAAGCAGACAUCGAUGCAUGGUAGUAGCACAGAAGGAAAACAUUCAUUGAAACAGGGAGGGGAUAAGGGAGCAAAUAAGUAAAGUGAAAAUAAGUAAAGGGAACAGACAACAUGUUAGGUAAAAGUAAUUAAACAUGGUUAAAAACAAGGGUUUAGUUCUUACUAUACCAAACCCCAAAUAUAUUCAACCUCAGGGAGAGGUUUCUGGGCUGUUAAGUAGCCAAGCAGUAGUGCACAUGGAAGAUAAAAACAUACAUUGAGACAAGGGGAAGGGGGAUAACGGAGAACAUGCUAAGCUAAGCUCGUAGACUAACAACUGCACGCUAAUGGCAAUAAGAGAAACUGAACCAUAUGUAAAAACACACAUGAAAUAAUAUGAAUUGCAAAAAUAAAAGGAGCAUGUCGUGUUGGAGGUUAUAUCUUAAAUAGGUGACAUACCAGUCGCAGGUAAUAAGAUACAAUAACAAUGCAAUAGUGCACAAAGGGAGAGCAAGGUGUGCAAAGAAUGAGAGCAACAGUGUGAGUAACAACAAUAUGAGAACAACAGCAACAACAGACCCAAUGUACACAAACAAAUAGAACCCAGUAGUGUAAAGUAAUCAACCCAGGCUACCAAAUCUUGGCUCUGAGCCAAUUGAGUGUUCACACAAGAGAAUGAGAUAGUAUAGUAAUAGCAUAGGAAGAGAGAAUUCACAAAGUCUGAGGUUGUGAGAGCAGUGUGUGUUGGUGUGUACAAAGAGAAAGGUAGGGAGUAUUUAUAGUAUUAAAAACGAGUGAACAUAAGGUAUCAAUCCGUAUUUAAGGAACUGAUAUCAAUCAUAGUCAAAUAAAUAUAGGGACUCCCCUUUAAUUAAGGAAUCAUAGUCAAACGGUAAUAAGCAGUCAUUUUUUUUAAAAAUCACAAAGUAUGGCAUGGUCACAUAAGGAAACAAAAUAGUAUAAGGUAUACAAUGCAGACUNNNNNNNNNNNNNNNNNNNNNNNNNNNNNNNNNNNNNNNNNNNNNNNNNNNNNNNNNNNNNNNNNNNNNNNNNNNNNNNNNNNNNNNNNNNNNNNNNNNNNNNNNNNNNNNNNNNNNNNNNNNNNNNNNNNNNNNNNNNNNNNNNNNNNNNNNNNNNNNNNNNNNNNNNNNNNNNNNNNNNNNACUAGGAAAUCAAUUAUUAAUUGAGGAAUGUAUCCCACUGAUUGAGGAAGAAAAAUCGAAAUCAAUACCAAAAUGUAAAGAGAAUACAAAAUCAUAAUUUUAAAGCAAGUAAUUACAACCUUAAAGAGAUGGUAAGAGUCAGUAUAAAAUCACCAUAUAAACGACCAUAAACCUUAAGAGAAGAGCACAACACGGUAGGGAAUGAAACACUAGCAACAAGAAUCAAAGUAAAGAGCACAGGACUCAUAGAAGAAACCAGAAGAAACAUGCAAACAGGCAAAUACAGAUAUAAACAUGUAGGAAUAGGGUUUUCAUCAGAUUUUAACAAAAUACUUAGAAGUAGUACUAAGAGUUACAGAUUAGUACUGAAAAUCAGAAAAGUAAAGUGUUUCGAAAAGGGGAUAAGAAACCCUAGCAAUAGAAAUAACAGUAUGAAACCCAAGUUAACUAGAAAACAAACAAACAAGUGAAAUAAACAAACACAAACGAAUAUAUAGCACUCAUAAAGAGUCGAAGAAACGAUUUCGAAAAAGGGGUCAGAAACCCUAACUUGAAAGAGUGGUAAUCAUCCGAAAAUUUGAACUAACCGGAAAAGCUAAGUUAAAAUAGAGUAGAAAACAAAAAUCAAACCAAGAGUUGUAUUAAAAGAGUAGAGAUUAAAGAGGAAAAAUUAGGGUUUUCAAACAAAUUAGGGAAAACGAAGAACCUGGAUGUGAAAGUCGUAUACAAUGCCAUAGAAGGCAUCAUCGUACAAAGACCACUGGAGAAAAGCCGGAAACAGACCCAAAUAAAGCUUACGUGACCUCUUUCAUGGCAGAAGCUGCUGGCUUCAAACUUUAGAGAGAAAACAGCGAUACAAGGGCUCCAUGGUUGCUGGAGGUCGAGAGAAGUGAGGGAGGAGUGAGCUGGAGAGGCGAUGGUCAUCAUCGGAGAAGACGGAGAGAACCAGAAGGUUCUAGAGAGAUGGAGGGUUUGAGA